AAUGAACGUUGGCGGCAUGGAUUAGGCAUGCAAGUCGGGGGAAUCCCAGCAAUGGGGGAACCGGCGUAAGGGGCAGUGAGGCAUGGGUACCUACCUUGGGGUUCGGGAUAGCCAUCAGAGAUGGUGGGUAAUACCGGAUGACGUCGUGAGACCAAAGAUUCAUCGCCCUUAGAGGGGCCCAUGUGAUAUUAGCUAGUUGGUGGGGUAACGGCCCACCAAGGCGAAGAUGUCUAGCGGGUGUGAGAGCACGACCCGCGCCACUCGCACUGAGACACUGGCGAGACACCUACGGAUGGCUGCAGUCGAGGAUCUUCGGCAAUGAGCGCAAGCUUGACCGAGCGAUGCCGCGUGAGCGAUGAAGGCCUUCGGGUUGUAAAGCUCUUUAGUGGGGGAGAAAAGCCGCAAGGUGUGAUCUAUCCCAAAAAUAAGCACGGGCUAAGUUCGUGCCAGCCGCCGCGGUAA
rnacentral:rRNA from 1 species